rnacentral:ncRNA from 3 species
GCGGAGGAAAAGAAACUAAC